CCUACGGGUGGCAGCAGUGGGGAAUAUUGGACAAUGGGGGGAACCCUGAUCCAGCCAUGCCGCGUGUGUGAAGAAGGCCCUCGGGUUGUAAAGCACUUUCAGUGAGGAAGAACGCCUGGUGGUUAAUACCCAUCAGGAAAGACAUCACUCACAGAAGAAGCACCGGCUAACUCCGUGCCAGCAGCCGCGGUAAUACGGAGGGUGCGAGCGUUAAUCGGAAUUACUGGGCGUAAAGCGCGCGUAGGUGGCUUGAUAAGCCGGUUGUGAAAGCCCCGGGCUCAACCUGGGAACGGCAUCCGGAACUGUCAAGCUAGAGUGCAGGAGAGGAAGGUAGAAUUCCCGGUGUAGCGGUGCAAUGCGUAGAGAUCGGGAGGAAUACCAGUGGCGAAGGCGGCCUUCUGGACUGACACUGACACUGAGGUGCGAAAGCGUGGGUAGCAAACAGGAUUAGAUACCCUGGUAGUC
rnacentral:rRNA from 1 species